UUUUAUGAGUGUGUAGCAUACCACUCUUAUAAGGGAGAGGCUACGAGGUAUUUAGGAAUGUUUCCCUUUCUUGUGAUCUACUCUUCGAGCUAUAGAGUCUAAGUUCAUGAAACAUCCUUUAAUUUAUCUAUGUUUUCUUUUCAGAUCAUGCCUCCCAGAAGUUCUGAUGCUCAUGGAAAUUUUUCUGUGUCAUUUGAGGACAAUGUAGCUAGAACCCAUUCUACCCCUAG
rnacentral:lncRNA from 1 species